UGUGCCAGCAGCCGCGGUGAUACGGAGGGUGCAAGCGUUAAUCGGAAUUACUGGGCGUAAAGCGCACGCAGGCGGUUUGUUAAGUCAGAUGUGAAAUCCCCGGGCUCAACCUGGGAACUGCAUCUGAUACUGGCAAGCUUGAGUCUCGUAGAGGGGGGUAGAAUUCCAGGUGUAGCGGUGAAAUGCGUAGAGAUCUGGAGGAAUACCGGUGGCGAAGGCGGCCCCCUGGACGAAGACUGACGCUCAGGUGCGAAAGCGUGGGGAGCAAACAGGAUUAGAUACCCUGGUAGUCCACGCCGUAAACGAUGUCGACUUGGAGGUUGUGCCCUUGAGGCGUGGCUUCCGGAGCUAACGCGUUAAGUCGACCGCCUGGGGAGUACGGCCGCAAGGUUAAACUCAAAUGAAUUGACGGGGGCCCGCACAAGCGGUGGAGCAUGUGGUUUAAUUCGAUGCAACGCGAAGAACCUUACCUGGUCUUGACAUCCACGGAAGUUUUCAGAGAUGAGAAUGUGCCUUCGGGAACCGUGAGACAGGUGCUGCAUGGCUGUCGUCAGCUCGUGUUGUGAAAUGUUGGGUUAAGUCCCGCAACGAGCGCAACCCUUAUCCUUUGUUGCCAGCGGUCCGGCCGGGAACUCAAAGGAGACUGCCAGUGAUAAAUUGGAGGAAGGUGGGGAUGACGUCAAGUCAUCAUGGCCCUUACGACCAGGGCUACACACGUGCUACAAUGGCGCAUACAAAGAGAAGCGACCUCGCGAGAGCAAGCGGACCUCAUAAAGUGCGUCGUAGUCCGGAUUGGAGUCUGCAACUCGACUCCAUGAAGUCGGAAUCGCUAGUAAUCGUGGAUCAGAAUGCCACGGUGAAUACGUUCCCGGGCCUUGUACACACCGCCCGUCACACCAUGGGAGUGGGUUGCAAAAGAAGUAGGUAGCUUAACCUUCGGGAGGGCGCUUACCACUUUGUGAUUCAUGACUGGGGUGAAGUCG
rnacentral:rRNA from 1 species